CUUUGAAGAGCCACAAGAAUCUGAACAAGGAGAGGGACGCAGGUACAGAGACAGACAUCAAAAGGUUAACCGAUUCAGAGAGGGUGAUAUCAUUGCAGUUCCUACUGGUAUUGUAUUUUGGAUGUACAACGACCAAGACACUCCAGUUAUUGCCGUCUCUCUUACUGACAUUAGAAGCUCCAAUAACCAGCUUGAUCAGAUGCCUAGGGUGAGCACUGAGCAUAAUUAAACUUCCCAUAUAAGAUAAUAUGUUGUCCAAAACAGUAACAUAGAUUCUAUCUAUCUAUGUUUGACAGAGAUUCUAUCUUGCUGGGAACCACGAGCAAGAGUUUCUACGAUACCAGCAUCAACAAGGAGGAAAGCAAGAACAAGAAAAUGAAGGCAACAACAUUUUCAGUGGCUUCAAGAGGGAUUUCUUGGAAGAUGCUUUCAACGUGAACAGGCAUAUAGUAGACAGACUUCAAGGCAGGAAUGAAGACGAAGAGAAGGGAGCCAUUGUCAAAGUGAAAGGUGGACUCAGCAUCAUAAGCCCACCCGAGAAGCAAGCGCGCCACCAGAGAGGCAGCAGACAAGAGGAAGAUGAAGAUGAAGAGAAGCAGCCGCGCCACCAGAGAGGCAGCAGACAAGAGGAAGAGGAAGAUGAAGAUGAAGAGAGGCAGCCGCGUCAUCAAAGGAGAAGAGGAGAGGAGGAAGAAGAAGACAAGAAAGAGCGCCGCGGCAGCCAAAAAGGCAAAAGCAGAAGGCAAGGAGACAAUGGGCUUGAGGAAACAGUUUGCACUGCUAAACUUCGAUUGAACAUUGGCCCGUCUUCAUCACCAGACAUCUACAACCCUGAAGCUGGUAGAAUCAAAACUGUUACCAGCCUGGACCUCCCAGUUCUCAGGUGGCUCAAACUAAGUGCUGAGCAUGGAUCUCUCCACAAAGUAUGUUUUUUCAUAUUUUAAUUUGUUUUUCCAUGAAUCAAUUUCAUGUCGAACUAUGUGCUAACUCAUUACAAUCUUCAUACAGAAUGCUAUGUUUGUGCCUCACUACAACCUGAAUGCAAACAGUAUAAUAUACGCAUUGAAGGGACGUGCAAGGCUACAAGUAGUGAACUGCAAUGGCAACACCGUGUUUGAUGGAGAGCUAGAAGCCGGACGUGCAUUGACAGUGCCACAAAACUAUGCUGUGGCUGCAAAGUCACUAAGCGACAGGUUCUCAUAUGUAGCAUUCAAGACCAAUGAUAGAGCUGGUAUUGCAAGACUUGCAGGGACAUCAUCAGUUAUAAAUAAUCUGCCGUUGGAUGUGGUUGCAGCUACAUUCAACCUGCAGAGGAAUGAGGCAAGGCAGCUCAAGUCCAACAAUCCCUUCAAAUUUCUAGUUCCAGCUCGUCAGUCUGAGAACAGAGCUUCGGCUUAGAUUUCGCACCAAAUCAAUGAAAGUAAUGAAUAAGAAAACUAAGGCUUAGAUGCCUUUGUUACUUGUGUAAAAUAACUCGAGUCAUGUACCUUUUUGCGGAAACAGAAUAAAUAAAAGGUAAAAUUUCAGUGCUCUAUGCUUUUCUACUCCAAGUUAUAACCAGAUGAUAUAUAACAAUCACAAUAAAUAAAUGUGAGUAAAAAAAUAUUGAAGAAAAAUGAUGUAUUGGAAUUAUAACUAGCCGGACUGGAUUUAAGGAGUUACAAUGAAAUUUUUUGAGAUAGCUUGGAGGAUGUUUGAUUCUAGUAGAUUUUUUCACACUGUUAUGGGUAUUUUAAAUAUAAAUAAUGUGGGUAAUAAUAGGGAUGCAUAUUAGAGUUGGAGUCAUAAAUGUAACUGGGGAUCCAUGAAGGAAUCAUAAAAAAAGAACAGCAUCAUCAUCAGUGGCAUAGUGAGUGACAUUGGAAGCAAAUGAAGUGACAUUAUCAUUGUGAUACUUAUAAGGAAAAAUAUCCGCUUAAAAAAACAUGUCUAGAAAUGAAUGUGCUAUCCAGAUACAUGUCAUAAAGAUCAUAAACCUCAGGUUUACAUCAGACAAAAAUCCACUUCCUAACUCUAGGGUCAAGCUUAUCCCUUCUUAGCAUCAAGGUGUUGGCAAAGGAUAAGCAACAAACACUUUUAGAUCAAUAAAAGUAGGUGAAGAUUGAAACAAAAUCUCAUAGGUAGUUAUGUUGUUUAUCACAUGAGAAAAGGCAAUUUAUUAAUGCCGAGAGUGACAUGGCAUAAAGCAAAAGACCAAAACCGUUUUGAAAGUCUUGAGGGAAAAAGCAAAGAUCUAAUAACAUUCAAUAGGUGUCUAUGUUUUCUCUCAACAACAGAAUUUAUUGUGAAGUUUCUACACAAUUCUGAUGUAAAAUGCUGAAGGAGAUAUAAAAGGAAGACAUAUUAAGUUACACUCCAUUAUCACUUUGUAGAAACAAAUUUAACAAAAACUAGAAAUGCAAGAUUUAGUGCCAAACUUAUUUUUCAUAAAGAUUGCUCAAGUAAAUUUAGAAAAUGUUGUCAACAAUAGUAAAGGAAAAUUGAUAAUUUUUAAGGAAAUGUUGAUAAUAGACCCCAAAUGUCCAUUUGUAUGAGAUCAACACAUUUUAAAGAUACCUGAACACUAGUAGGAGAAGGUAAUUUUGUUGGUUAGAAAAAUGACAAUGAUCACAAAUGAUGCUCUUAUUAGAUUAUAUGUAUUUAAAAUUCUUAAAAAGUUGUUCUAAAACAAUGUGAGAACAUAAAGCAUAUACUCUAACACGGACACAAGCAAGUGUGUGAAUCCGAUAAAUAUGUUUUAUCGAAGUCUGGUGUGUUUGUAGGAUUUGGAUAUUAUAAUAAUGGUAUGUUUAUGAUGAAUUUGAAUGGAGUUCCUAAUGAUUCUGGUUCUGUAUUUAUGUCCUUCGAAGUUAAUCAAUUCUAUCGUUAUGGGCAUGCCUCGUCUAGGACACGUACAUUAUAAAAGAAUGCAUGAAAUGUCUAAAGAUGAUUUAAUUCCUGUUUUGAUAAAAAUGUAGAAAAUUGUAAAACUUGCAUGUUAACAAAGAUCACUAGGCAACUUUUAAAAGUAUAACAAGGAAAUCUGUCAUUCUUGAGUUGAUACACUAUAGUGAUUUAUGUGAUUUGCAUGCUACUCCAUCAUUAGGACAUAAAAAAUAUUUUGUCACUUUCAUAGAUGAUGCAUCUAGAUUCUGCUAUGUUUAUUUGCUGCAACGCUAAGGACGAAUCCUUAGAUAAAUUCCAAAAUUUAUAAAACUGAAGUUGAAGUGCAACAUAAUGUGUUGAUUAAAACAUUACGUACAAGAUAGAGUGAUGAAUAUUAUGAUCUGUGAUUUUUCCAAUCCGUAGGAAUCAUUCAUGAGACUACGGCACCUUAACACCAUCAACAAAAUGGUGUGGCUGAAAGGAAAAUAGAGUGUUUAGAAAAUGGUGAAUGCCAUGUUAUCUUACUCUGGUUUGAGUGAAAGGUUUUGGGGAGAAGCUAUGUUAACGGCUUGCUAUUUGUUAAAUAGGGUUCCCUAAUAAAAGGAACAAAGACUACCCCAUAUGAACUUUGGUAUAAAGAAACGAUCCAACUUAACAUUUUCUACGUGUUGGGGUGUAGGGCCGUGUUAGACUCCCGGACCCAAAAAGGAAAACUUUGGAUGAAAAGGGUGUAGCUUGCAUCUUUGUUGGAUAUGCUGAGCACUCCAAGCCUAUAGGUUUUAUGUUAUAGAACCUAAUGACUCGACUUCUAUUAACAUAAUUAUAGAAUCGAGAGAUGCAUAUUUGAUGAGAUUGGUUUCUCUCUAUACCUAGACCAAAGGACUCUAUACCUAAUUGCAGAUGAAUCUCUAAGGGAUGAAUCAUUCAAAUGAUGUCCCAAGUGAGACACUUGAACGCCCGUAGGAGGCAAAAGAGCUAGAAAAUCUAGAUCUUAUGGAUCUGAUUUUCAACUAUUUAGUUGAGGGAUCAAAGGAUCACGAUUGACACUCAUAACUAUUAUUGCCUAUAGUAAUAGAGGAGGAUCAAAGAACGUAGAUGAAGCUGUGAAAUCUUCGUAGAUUUCUGGCUUUUUUGGAAAGAAGCAAUUGACGAAGCGAUUGGUUCUAUCAUGAAAAUAAUAACUUGGGUAUUAUCUGAUUUACACCAGGUUGCAAAACCAUUGGUUUGCAAUGGAUCUUCAAAAAGAAAGAUGAAAGUCGAUUGGUACAAUGACAAUUACAGCUAGAUUAAGUUAUCCAAGGCUUCAGAGAAAAGGAGAGGAUUGAUAUUUCGAUACCUAUGCUCGCUGUUUGCCCGUAUCACUAACUAUUAGAUUGUUGAUUGCCUUGGCGGCUCAUUCAUAAUCUAGUGAUUCAUCCAAAUGGAUGUAAAACAUACAUUUCUGAAUGGUGAUUUUGGAGGAAGAAGUGUAAUAUAGCGCAAACCUGAAGGAUUUGUAAUGCCUGGUAAUGAGCCAUACAAGUGUGUAAGCUAGUUAAGAUUCGUUGUAUGGGCGUGAAACAAGGCUCCGCAGCAGUGGCAUCAAAAGUUUGAUAUGAGGUUGUUAUUGUCUAAAUGGUUUCAUUCAAAACCAAGCUGACAAAUGUGUGUAUAGCAAAUUUGAUACUUCCGGUAAAGGAGUUUUCAUUGUUUAUAUGUUGAAUGACAUGUUGAUCAUUUGGCACCUGACCAAAAUUCAAGGUGAUAAAACGAAGAAUUUCUAUAUCAAUAGUCUCCAUAGAGGAUAAUGGGAGAAGCGACGUUAUUGCUUGGUAUUAAGAUUAACGGAGGAAUAAGGGGAUUGUAAUUACGCAAUCAAUUACAUUGAGCAAAAUACUCUAAGAAGUUUAAUUUGAUAAAAGUUGUUCUCCGGAUAAAGGUCUCGCCAUGGAUCCGGGAGAAAAGCUUAAUGACCAAAUACAGGUAAACACUGUGGGAUCAACUCGACUAUUCAAAAGCUAUAGGCUCUUUGAUGUAUGCUAAUGAAUUAACAACUAAGACCGGCAUAUUGGCAUAUGCGGUUGGAAAGUUGACAGAUUUACAGUAAUACCAGUAGACAUCAUUGGCAUGCGAUAACUAGGGUAUCAGUUAUUUGAGGGUAACAAUGAAUUAUGGAUUGUCCAUAUAAUGGGAUUUCCUUCGUGUAGAGGUUAUUCGGAUGCUAGUUGGAUAAAUAAUGCCUGAAGAAUUCAUCCUCUACAAGUGGAUGGGUGUUCUUGCUUGGGGGAGGGUGCCUCGUCAUGGCUUCAAGAAGCAAACAUGUAUAACUGGUUCCACAAUGAAUACUGAAGUUUCUGUAGGCAUUAGCUGCUGUGGUAAAGAAGGGAAUGGCUAAGAAUUUUGUAAUAUAGAAUUCCGAUAUGGCCUAAACCGUAUCAACCAAAUUUCUAUCCGUUUGUGAUAGUACGCCAACAUUGACUAAAAGCUUGAACGUCCAAAUUUACAAUGGAAGUCCUAGACAUUUUGGGUGUUUAGACAUAGUAUGAUUAGGGAAUUAAUCAUGAAUAGGGGUGAUUCGUAUUGUGAGUUUGUUCGGUUCGCGAACAAAACUAUAGCUGACACUUGACGAAGGGGUUUAGCUAGAGACUUAGUGAAGAAGUCGGUAUUGGGAAUGGGAUUAAAGUAUCCAUUUAAAUCUAUUUAAGCUAUGGUAUAACCCAAUUCCCCUUCUAAUACAACAUUAGAAGCAGAAUCAAUGUGGAGAGAUCACUGUUAAGAAUUGGAGCAAUUGUCCUUAUCUUCCAGGUAUGUGUCAGAACCCUGCAAAGUGAUGGCUGGUUGAAUUAAUAUCUCUUAAUGGUUUUCUUGGAAAAUUGCAAAAUGCAUGUGCAAAGAUUAAAAAGAAUCACCUAUGUGAGCAUGAUUUGCCGCUUCAAGAGCUGGACUUGUUCCUAUAUGCUUAAUUAAUGGAUAAGGACACAUGGCUUGUAAAGUGUCAAGUAAUGGGAAAUAGUAGAGUAUUGUAAGAAAGCAUAUGUGUACUAUAUCUUCAGACACCUCAAAGGAUUGACGGGUUCAAUCGCUAGACACCUCGAUUUUCGAGUAUUUGGAAUGUGUAAAUUUGUACGUAAGAUAAAAUUCAAUCGCAAGACAAUUUCAAUUUAUGCAUUUGUUUGAUCGUUAUACCUGUGUGUAUAGCCCUUGUAAUAUAUUAUUGCAAUGAUACUAGAGUAAAUCAAGGAUACACUAAAUGGGGGGAUUGUUGUGAUUUUAGUAUCAUCAAUGUUAUUUUAGUAAGUAAUGUGAUUUACUACAGGGCGAUGCAAUUAAUGCGUUAAAGCUUGGAAAAUGAGUUGGGAUAGUGCGGAGUGCACAGCUCGUCGAGCCAAAACGUAUAAGUGAAUGCGAAAAUAAUUGAAACUGGUUCCAAGGGGAGAAGCCGCUGACGGGGUGUGGGGCAGGCGCCCCGUUCGAAAUUUUCUUGAAUCAGUUGAAUCCUUUCCCCAACCGACGUAACCGGUUUCCUGAACAGUUGCGUCCUUUUCGUUCUGUUAUUGAUCUCCCCAUAAUAAGGAGUCAAUUUGGCCCUCAGUUUAAAAAAAGAGAAUAUACGAACCAAACUUUCUCUCUACAUUCCUGAAACAUUUUUUCUUUUCGCAGAAACAAAUUGUUUCUUCAAGAUUAUCCCCAGCAAAGAUUAUCGUGAACCCCAGGCAAGAAUAGGGUUCGAAAUUACUUUUUUCGGAAAAGUGGUACGAACACGCUUCUUCGAAGUUUAUCCAGGAUUAUCAUACCCGAUUAUCUAACAGAAAAGUUGUCAACAAUAGUAAGCGAAAACUUGAUAAUUUUUAAGGAAAUGUUGAUAAUAGACCCCCAAAUGUCCAUUUGUAAAUGAAGUCAUCAACACUUUUUUAAAUGAGUACCUGAACACUAGUAGGAAGAAGGUAAUUUUGUGUUGGUUUAGAAAAAAUGACAAUGGAUCACAAAUGAUCUCUUAUUAGAUUAUAAUGUAUUUAAAAUUCUUAAAAACCAAUUGUUCUAAAACAAUGUGAGAAAACAUAAAGCAUAUACUUCUAACACGGACAACUGAUAAUGACAUGAGACAUGUCGCGAACACUAUUGAUAUAAAAACAUAUACUGACACUAUAUAUAUUAUAUAUAUAUAUAUAUUAUAUAUAUAUAUAUAUAUAUAUUAUAUAUAAUUAUAUAUAUAUAAUAUAUAUAUAUAUAAUAUUAUAUAUAUUAUUACAAUUAAAUAAAUAAAUAUUAUUUAUAAAGUCUAAAUUAAGAAUCAAAAUAUAUACAUAGACAUCUAAAGUUGAGAAAUUUAUUUAUCCAUCUACUAUAAAAAAAUGUUUAAAAUAUUUAAGUAUCUUUAAAUCCUCCAUGAUUACGCAUUUUUUCCACGUCUUCCAUUUCUAUAUCUAUGUGUUCAAGAAGUGAUAAAGUAUUGAAAACAAAGAGGAUAAAUUUGUACAUCAAGCUCUGCCAUAGUCAUGAGACAGCAGAAUGAACGAAAGUAAAUCACGAAAUGGUUCAUAACAUUGACUUCAAUAAAUGGUGCCAGUGCUUAAUACAGUUAAUUCAAGAAUCGACUCCAGAGUUACCAAGAACACUCGACCGGAAAACCCAGUCUGACCAUGAGAAGUUUGUUCGACCGAAACGAUGACCAGGAACACCAAGUGCUGCGAACCAAUACCCAGGGUGGUCCAACGGUCUCGACCGUUUGUGUUAGCAAUAGAAAUCCAGAUCCCGACAUGUGUCAAGGAAGGUUCAACAAGAUGCAAUGGCUGGGGAACAAAAUUUAUAGGCCAUUGUCGAAUGAAUCAUGGUUCGAAAUGGGGUAAACCCAAGCCUUCAAAGGCCAACGUAUCCGUCUCCAUUACCAAACUUUGUUUUACAAACAAAACUACCUUAGGGAUGGAAGGUUCCAAAGUUCACCAAGUUCACUGGAGACACUAAAGAGUCCACUGUGGAACAUGUUUCUAGAUAUCAAACAAAAGCUGGUGACAUAGAAACAAUGAGGACUUGAAAAUGAAAUAUUUCCCAAGUUCCCUCACAAAGAACGCGUUCACUUGGUUUACGAUGCUACUUCCACAAUCCGUCCAUACGUGGAAGCAAUUAGAGAGAUUGUUCCAUGAACAGUUCUAUAUGGGACUUUUGAAAAUAAGUUUGAAAGAACUGGCCAGCGUCAAACGAAAGACCUCUGAGGCAAUCGAUCAAUAUCUUAACAGGUUUAGACUUUUAAAAACAAGAUGAUUUACUCAAGUCCCUCAGCACGAAUUAGUCUAAAUAGACGCAAGCGGUUUAGACUAUUCUAUCAGGAAAAAGUUAGACACACAAUAUCUUAAGGAUAUGGCACAAUUAGCUGAUAGAGUUCGAAAGAUCGAACGCUUGAAAGUUAAAAAAACCAAAAUUGAUAGAUACCAUAAGAAAUAGAAAGUGUUUUAUGUAGCAGCUGACGAAUACUCUUCUGACGAUGAAGAGCUUGUCGACGAAAGCGAAGUCAACGUGGCUGAGCUCAAGCCAGGACCUCCUUACACGUGUAAAUUGUUGAAACCAUCAAACGGGAAAAGUCCCAUCGAAAUGGAGAAAACGGAUCAAUACGUUGCUAAAACUUACACUUUCGAUGUGUUUAAAUGUGACGAGAUAUUUGAUUUAUUAGUUAGAGAUGGUCAAAUUAUUAUUCCUCAAGGUUUAAAAGAUCCUUGAUCGGGAAAAUAGCAAGUGUACUAUUUUGCUGAUGUAGUAAUAAGAGGAAUGUUUCCCAAAGAUCGAUCUCGAGGAUUGCGCAGCAAUAUAUGAGUAAACAAUCACUCAAUUGAAUAAAAAGUAAUAGUUUGGGUUUUGUAAAAUUCACUGUAAGGAGAAAUAAAAUAAAUAAAUAUUUUCACAGAUUAUAAUGAUAUGCCAAAGAUGGUGUAUGAAAAUCUCUUGUAAUGACCCUUGAGUGUAUAUCUCCUUAAUAAUGAAAAUUGUUUCAAUUACCAGAUCUUAAGAUUGUUUUCCUCUAAGACCUCGGAGGAAAACAUUUGGUAUUCAAUCUAACCUCUAAGUCCUUAGGUGAUUAUGAUGAAACCAAGUCAUUUUAAUUUAACAAAAAUAAACCAGUAACCAUAGGGUUCCCUAGUCCUAGGUGAUAUCUAUCAAAACCUUAACAAUUGCAAUCCUAUUAAUCGUUAACCAUACACCAAUCUUAAUUUUUCUGAUAAAGAAGCAUUACACAGAUUACACAGUGAAAUUGAUAACAAAUAACAUAUAUUAAGGAAAAUCUAACAUCAGAGUCAUUACAUGAUCAAUUCAGGGACACCCCCUGGCAUUGGGGGGUUUAGCCUCUCAUAUUAUUCAAAUUAGAUACAAGAUAAAAUUGAGACAUUACAUAAAGAUCGGAAUCCCGUUGAUCUUCAAUCGCGUCCGCUCUUGAAGGAUCUCCGUUCUUCUUCGCUUUCCACUGCUUCAAUCUUGAUCGUCUCUAAUUUUUGAUCGUGUAAAAAGUCCCUCUCUUCAUAUUCAAAUCCCCUGUAAAUAGUUCCUGAUGACAAUUUUUAUCUAGCAAAAGUCCAAAAUACCCUCCGACAUAAGCCGUGCCAAAAACAACACAAAACUGGAAAAUCAAGUGUCCAAGCCAACACUGGCCGUGUCAGGCAACACGACAGGCCGUGUUGGGCUUCUGGUGCAAACAGGCUUGACACACCCCUUCAGGGAGGCUGACAAGGGCACCUGUGUCAGCUCCCUGUUUUUCCUUUUCCAAGUGUCUUCUCCUGACACGGCUUGUGUUGGGCAACACGGGUGGUCGUGUCAAGACUACUGUACUGUUCAAUUUUCUUCUUCCGACGGGCCCAGAACGUCUGAUUUGCUUAUCUAUCCCUCCGGUACACUUGCUUACACCUGAAAUCAAUAGAACUACCAUAAAGGGACAUAAAAUGGAGUAUGAUGAUGCAUAUAACAUGUAAUCAACAACUGGAAACAACAAUACAAAACUUCUAAAUUACUAAACAAAACAAUAAAAUAAGUGGACUAAUGUGUUACCGACUUCGUACAAAGGUGCCGAAUGAGUGUCAGAAAACAAGUAAAAUUGGAGACUGAUCACAACCCCAAACUUAUCUCAUUGCUUGUCCUAAAGUGAUGCUCGAGACAUCAGGACGGAUACCCCCAAAUUUCGCAUCCACAAUGCUACUGCGAUCUUUCACGAUCUCCUGUUCACUUUUCAAUCACAGUUUUACUCUUUCCCGAUUUCCGACUUCAACUACACUUUCCCUUUGACGCAUCUUUUGGCCUGUAGCUUUUCACACUCUCACCAAAUCUCUCGGGAUCAAAGUGUUUACACUCAAGAAAAAUAGAGCAUGCAAAGUCAACUCUUAAGUUUGAAAUACAUAUACCUUCAUAACAAGGAACACACAACACAAACAAUUCGAGGAUUUUUUGGGUUAUAGCGGGGCUAGGGUGUAAGAUGGUGAGUCAACACACAAAAAAAAA
rnacentral:lncRNA from 1 species